rnacentral:rRNA from 1 species
GACGUAGGGGGCGAGCGUUAUUCGGAAUUAUUGGGCGUAAAGCGCUCGUAGGCGGGAUCGAUAGUCCGUGAAGAAAGACCUGGGCUCAACUCAGGGAACGGCACGGAUACUUCGAUUCUUGAGGCAAUCAGAGGGUGAUGGAAUUCCCGGUGUAGCGGUGAAAUGCGCUAGAUAUCGGAGGAAGACACCAGUGGCGAAGGCGGAU